UCGGCGCUGAAGCUCCCUCCGAGAAGCUCCAUCCCCUCUCUCGGAAGUCACAGCCAGUCCCCCGAGCCGGAUUCGGCGGGUGCCUGCGCCUCAUCUCCGCCUUGCGCUGGAGCUGGUAGCUGUUUACAGGACAAGAGUCCUGUUUAUCGGAUUGUUGGGAAGAUUAAAAUGGUUAAUGGAACUAAAGAAUUUAGAGAAGGCCUUGACACAGAGCGAGUGCCGUAUAAGUAUUAGCUAUUAUUUUUCUUAUUAAUCCUCAAUGACGCUUGCAAAGAAGCUUUUAUCAUCUCUAUUUGUCAGAUAAGGAAACUGAGGCUCAGAAGCGUAGGAAUGCUUUCCCAGGAUCCCACAACAAGGAAGGAAUAAAAUCAGGUGUACAGAGAAAGAAGGUGCUGGCACAGGAAGAUGGCAAGCGCUAGGACCUCGGAUGAUGUGGUUGGGCUGCUGAAGGAAUCCCGGGGCUGUCUACCUACAGGUUUCUUAAGAUUUCGUAAGAUGUGAGAUCAGUGUCUUUAUUGCUGAAGCUGCUCUUAGAGAUUUCUGACCGCCUACUAUGAACAGCUACACUCCGGCCUCCCUACUCCCUCUCUGCCCUUCACCCUGCUUUGUUUUCGCCAGGGCACGCCUCACGACUGGGCAUUUGUCAUCUCCCCUGCCCCCUGCCCCCAGUGCCCUUUGCUCCAGCCACAGUGACCUCCUCGCUGUUCCUCAAACCAAGCAGGCCUGUGUGUUCCUCCUUCGGGGACUUCACACCCUCUGUUCUUCCUCCAGAUCUGCGUUAUUUUCUCCCUCAGCUCAACUGUCUCCUCG